GCGCGAAAAACUCCGCAAUGCGCGAAAGCGCGACGGGGGUCAUCCCGAGUGCCGCCCGCUGAGGGCGGCUUUUGCCUGGUCUAACCAGCCGAGUGAAUAAGGGGAGGGCAAGUCUGGUGUCAGCCGCCGCGGUAAUACCAGCUCCUCGAGUGGUUGGGACGAUUAUUGGGUCUAAAGCGUCCGUAGCCGGCCGGAAAAGUUCUCCGUUAAAUCCAACGAUUCAAUCGUUGGGCUGCGGGGAAUACUCUUCGGCUUGGGGGCGAGGGAGGUCGGCGGUAGUCUCGGGGUAGGGGCGAAAUCCUAUAAUCCCGAGAGGACCACCAGUGGCGAAGGCGGCCGACUAAAGCGCGCCCGACGGUGAGGGACGAAAGCUGGGGGAGCGAACGGGAUUAGAUACCCCGGUAGUCCCAGCUGUAAACGAUGCAGGCUAGGUGUUGGGACGGCCACGAGCUGUCCCAGUGCCGCAGGGAAGCCAUUAAGCCUGCCACCGUGGGGAGUACGGUCGCAAGGCUAGAAUUCUCUUUGAGCAUUUGCUCGAGGGACU
rnacentral:rRNA from 1 species